UUCAUGUAUUCAUAUCAUAUAUGAAUCAUGUGUUCAUGGAAAUACAUGAUCAGAAAUGCAGUUUUAAGAAGAAAAAAACACACCUUUUAUUUUCAUAGGAUAAAAAGGACUGAUAACUAUUCAAAACAUGAAUAACUCUACCAAUUAUCAUUUGUUGACAACACUUCAUUUUAAUAUAUAUCUUCUAACAAUUAAUAAGCAGGUAACUUCACAAAAUUUUCUUUCUUCACUAUUUUAGUAAAUUUAUGAAACAUUUACAGUGAGAGACUUAUGAACAUGAACUAUUUAUAGCUUUUUGAAGAUCUAUAUCAAUAGUCAUGACUUUUCAGAUUUAAAGUAGUUAUUUUAAGAUAACGCUUUUACAAUAUAUUUUGAAUACAGACUUUGACACUCUAAUUCAUUAUGAAAAUCAUUUUAAACCAUAUACAAGUUUAACACAUUAUUAGAAUGAAAAGACACGUUAAUUAUAAACAUUGCACAAUGAAAUUGACAAUAUUUAUAAAAAAACACAUAUUAAGAUAUUUCAGUUUUUUUUUUUAAAACUAAUUUGUCUUUUAUAAUAAAAAGACACAACUCUUUACACUAAUAAAUUUUAAAUAAUGAAAAAUAAAUGUAAAAUAUAUUUUUAUGAUGAAAAGACACAUCUAAACAUUUUUUAUAAUCCUUUUCCAAUAGUUACAUGUUAGAAAGACAAAAACAAUCUCAGCCUUUUUUUAUGAAAAGACAGAAUAUUAACAUUAAUUGAGAUGCAUAUUAUUAAUUUAUUUUUUAUAAUGAAAAAUAAAAAUAUUAAAACUAAUAUAUUUUAGAGAAUGAAAACAUACAAUCUUUAGAUGUAAAAUAUAAAUUCUUAUGAUGAAGAAAGACACAUCUUAAAAUUUUUAUACAACGUUUUUCAAUAGUUUCAUGUCGGCAAAACAAACCUAAUCUUUGUUUUUUAUGAAGAAACAACUUUUAACAUUAAUUGAGAUUUCUAUUAUUAAUUUAUUUUUAUAGUGAAAAGAUAGAACUCUUAAAACUAAUAUAUUUUAGAGAAUGAAAACAUACAUUCUUUAGAUGUAAAAUAUAUUCUUAUAAUGAAAACAAAUCUAAACAUUUUACACAAUGUUUUCUAAUAGUUUCAUGUUGAGAAAACAAAACUAAUAUCAGUUUUUCAACCCAAAAUAUUUUUAUAUUAUUAUACUGUAAUUGUAAAUAUGUAAACUAAGCAUUAUCUUGCAUAUCCUCUCUAAAAUUUAUAAAAUAAAUGAGUUUUGAAACGGUUACUGUGUUUUUUUGUUAAUCUGAUCUGACAUGAAACUGAGAAAAAGAAAAACAAAAUACUUUUUUAAGUACCUUAUUUAUAACAAAAAUGUUUUUCCAUACACAUGUUUAUUAUACAAAGACAGAUUUUUUAACGUGUCUGCAUCCACUUUUCGUAGCAUUCAUGACUUAGAGAAAGAGAAAAACGGAGAGAGAGGGACAGUAAAGAGCAAAGAGAGUAACAAGGGUACCAUGUUGAGUUCUAAGCAGGAGUUCUUUACAAGGUGAUUUAUCAUUGCUCCUUAAAUAAAUGAAUGCAAUACUACAUGCUUCUAAACGCAAUCAUAAUAUGAAAAUGAAGCAACACUAGAUGAUUUUGCCUCUGAAGAACGUACAAAAUCUUGAAGAACGUACAAAAUCUUGAAUGCUUGGAAUUGUCUUUGAAGAUAUUUUAUCUCCUUCAUCUUUGUUGAGAAAUUUGGUUAUGCAUGUGGUUCUUUAAUCAUUGUGAUCAGGUCUUUGUAGUAUAUUCCAAAAUUCUAGCAAGUCGAAUGUACUAGCAUAUUUUCCAUCCCCCGAAGCAGUGCUUAUAAUUCUGAAUGUAAAGCUGAAUCCUGGUGUCUUAGGCUCUUUGUCCUCAUUAACUAGUUUUGCUCAGAGAUGUCUAUCCAUACCCAACCGCAUCUAUUGAAUUUAGAGGUAGUAGUCCAUGAUCCAUCUACCAAAUAUAUGUUCUCCAAUCAUGUGGCUUGUGAUUCGGAGUUACUUACUAGUUGUGAUGUUGUAGGAACAAGCACAUUUUCUGAGAACCAAGAUUGGCACUUUUCCACUGUGUGUAUGAUUAGUUCUUGGAGGUACAGUCUAUCCCUCUGAAUAAUUUAUCGCUUUAACUUUUUUAAAAUAACAAAUUAUCCAAAGAUUUUUAUCUAGUUUUGGGUCAUUAAAACUGUUUUCUCCAAAAAAUAUAGUCCAUGUUGCAUAAACACUUGAUAGCGGGAAAAUAUUCGGGAUAGAUGGAGUUGCAGGUAGCACAUGUCUGUUAGGUUGGUGGGCACUCAAAGAUGACAUGAGUUACUGACUUAUCAGGGUCCCCACAUUGAGAAAAAUGAUUUUCACAUCAUAUAUGGCAACAUAUCAGAUUCCUUGUUACCGCUAUAUGGCUAGUAAUAAGCUAUUAAAUAAUAUAACACAUCUUAUGUAGAGCCGUUGUUCUCUAGGCAAAGGCUUGUAACACGGUGAUACUGGACUCCAUAUAGACAUGUUAUGUUCCAUUCUUUAGGAUAUUCUGUGCCACCCCGUACCCAAACUUAACAGCAUAUUGACCAUUUUUCUCAAACUCUAACAAAACGUAUCUCGAUAAGUGGUUUGACUUAUGGACAAUUUAUGAGUCAGUGGCAUAUCAUCUUAAAACAAAAUUUUUAAGCAUCUCGACGUCCCAUUCUUUCAAUUCUCCUUUGAUAAGGUCGCUGACAAUUAAUCUCGGAUGUACCACCGGGACAUUACGCCGUGCUAGUCUAGCUGGUGUUGUAGGAAUCCAACGAUCCUCCCACAUAUUAACUUCAUAUCCUGAAUGAACUUUUGUCGAAUCCCACAUUGGAGCUUUUUGUUUUCCACGGUUUGUAUUUUGAAUGCUCGCCGGUCUGUUCGCGAUAUCCAUGUCUACUCACUCUCUUGCCGACUUCUAAGUACCCUCUAUGUGUGCCUCUCUUAUUACCUUUUUGUAUUCUCCUGUUCCUGGAUACAAUUCGACUCUUCUACGGCCAAAUCUCAAUUUGUGGAAAGCCUUUGAUGGCUUCCUUAUGAAAACAUCCAGCAAUAAUAAAUGUCAAGCCGCUGAAAUACUAGAUACAUAGGAAGGAUUAUAUGUAGAACUUACUCGAAAUGGCGAAGUAAGUUUGUAGUAUUUUUUCCCGCAAAAUAGGAGCUAAUAGAAAAUCUGGAAACUGUACCAAUCGCGUAAUUGUUUUGCCAGGAGCGCCAAAUUAAACUCAUGGAUCAUACAAAAUCUAAUUCCACUCUCUUUUUUUAGUAGAAAUUUUUUUUCUCAUUUAAGAUCGAUUCGAGCUAGUUUUGCAAGGAUCUUCUUCCUGGCUGAUGCUCUCAUGCCUUUGUUGCAGUGUUUGUGAUCUUUCAAGUUACACGAUAUGCAAUUAUUCAAGAUGAUUAUAAGCUUUUGCUAUAGGAUUUCUUAUGAUAUGUUGUUAUGAUGUGUAUUGUCCAUCUAUAUUUUGCUUAUUCAAAUUUUCAGUAUUUGAGUUUGUUCAGUCUUUAGUGGUUUUGAUGUAUUCUCCUUGACCAUGUGGAUUAAACUCUUCUAAAUUUUUAAUGAAAGUAUGGUUUGGACAAAAUGAUGGAUUCGAGCUCCUAAAUGUGGAAUGACACUCACAAGGAAACAAGAAAGAAGCUAAAUAUAACGAAGUCGAAAAACUAUAAUCUAUUACUAUAAAAAACAGUUUGCUCUCUCCUGGUGAAGACACGUAGGCGUCCAGGUCAGAAACUCGGUGUCUGUCGUCUCGACACGUGUCCGCUGUAUGCUAAACGCACCGUUCCAUUUAUUCUGGUGUAGAUUUCGUUUGGGCUUUGUCUACAUUCGUGGCUCUUACUUUGCUUCAUAAAGCCCAAUUUUAGAAAGUAAGUAGGGAUGUUCGAAACACGUCGUUUUUGAUUAUAUUGUUUGAUCAUGUUUCUUCUCUGUCGUUGCGAUAUCAGGCGACCCUCUAGGGUUUUUAAUCAAGUUGUUUCAUCUUCUUCCUAACGAUUCAAGAAUCCAGCAGUUACAGAUUCAUCCUAUUAAAGUCGUUCUUGAAUCAUCAUCCACGAUCUACCUUAAAUACAAAUUUUUCUCUUGAAAAGCGCUGUAACUUCGAGUAUAAAAGGUGAAAUAGACUGCAGGAGCCGUGGAGAUGUUAAUGCGGCGGAGGCGAGAUGUGGCCAAAUAGAUUGUAGGAUGUGUUCAUGCCAGACCGAGCCAAAAACGGAGAGGUGGAGCAGCAAAAGAGGAAACAAAGCAACAUAAAAACUGAAACCAUGAGAGGUGGAAAGCUCUCAUGUGAGGAUUACGACGGAGAAUAGCCGGAAAGUUGCUGAAUCUUUUAGCAGCGGCUCCUCCUCUUGGACCUCCACCGGUGGCAAGAUUAUGAACUGCAAAUAAAGCAGUUUUUGUUCAGCACUGGAUAUGAAGGGUCUUUAAAAACAUUAACAUAUUGAUCAUCUCGACAUUAGAGUCCUUGAGCUUCUUCAGAUUGGUCAAGAAUAAGUGGUUUACAAGAUUUUUCAGAGAAGAGUGAGGAUUAAGAAGGAAUAUGUUUGGGGCUAUUGGAGGAGCAACAAAGAGUAUGUCCUUAUGAGCUGGAGAGAAGGCUACAUGAACUCAUGGAGAGAAGACAAGAAGAGUAUAUAAAAGAGCUGCAGACUUCAUCGCUAACAAACAUCUUCAUGUGACAGCGUCUGAAGCUUCUUGGUGGAAAGACACUUCAUAUGUAGUCUCUGAUCAUAUACUGUAACAGUCUAGAAUAAACUCCAACUAUCAAAAUCAUCUCACUCUGCUCUUUGAUCUUUCUCUAAUUUUCUCCUAUAAAAUAGGCCUCUCGGCAUUGAGAAA